rnacentral:rRNA from 1 species
GACGAACGCUGGCGGCGUGCUUAACACAUGCAAGUCGAACGGAAAGGCCCUGCUUGCAGGGUACUCGAGUGGCGAACGGGUGAGUAACACGUGGGUGAUCUGCCCUGCACUUCGGGAUAAGCCUGGGAAACUGGGUCUAAUACCGGAUAGGAGCCAUUUUUAGUGUGAUGGUUGGAAAGUUUUUUCGGUGUAGGAUGAGCUCGCGGCCUAUCAGCUUGUUGGUGGGGUAAUGGCCUACCAAGGCGGCGACGGGUAGCCGGCCUGAGGGUGGACGGCCACAUUGGGACUGAGAUACGGCCCAGACUCCUACGGGAGGCAGCAGUGGGGAAUAUUGCACAAUGGGCGCAAGCCUGAUGCAGCGACGCCGCGUGGGGGAUGACGGCCUUCGGGUUGGAAACUCCUUUCGCUAGGGACGAAGCUUUUUGUGACGGUACCUAGAUAAGAAGCACCGGCUAACUACGUG